UACGUAGGUGACAAGCGUUGUCCGGAUUUACUGGGCGUAAAGAGCGCGCAGGCGGUCGAUCAAGUCGAACGUGAAAUCCCCAGGCUCAACCUGGGAACUGCGUCCGAUACUGGCAGGCUUGAAUCCGGGAGAGGGAUGUGGAAUUCCAGGUGUAGCGGUGAAAUGCGUAGAUAUCUGGAGGAACACCGGUGGCGAAGGCGGCGAUCCUGGACCGGGUAUUGACGCUGAGGCGCGAAAGCUAGGGGAGCAAACGGG
rnacentral:rRNA from 1 species